AGAGCAGGUAGGGUGAUAAACGGGCCGUGAAUUUGUGAGUUGAAUCACAAGAAUGAUAAGAAUUGUAUUUGUGUGUGUAUUCUAAAAUCAGCCUAGUUUGAACCAUCGUAACAAAUUAUGUCUAAACUGGGAAGUCCAUUUCCCCCGGCUGGGUAGGAAGUAUUUACCACUGGAGCCCAGGCCACAUGUGCCCUUCCCCUUUGGUGAACCACUCCGCCCCCAACACUAUUGCCGGGACCCAGGGAGCACUCCUUGCCCUGACCUUGGGACUUUGUUCUUCUAAAUCUGCAGGCCUCUUUCUGGCUCCUAAAUUCUCUCCAGAGUGGCAGAAUUGCUAGUUUUUCCUGAUCACAUAUAUCCGUUAAUUCUCACAUGACAAGAGUGUCUGGGUAUUUUGAUGGUGGUGUCGCCGAAGCUUUUCCCCGUGAGGCUGCUGUCUGUUCUCUGCAUAUUCCCUGUAGUCGCUUUCGCACAUCAUUUUGUUCUCGGGAGAAGCAGUUACACCUUUUCCCUAGAAGCCGAGUAACACUGUCUGACCGGGCUAAUGUUACACCCAUUUAAAUGGGAAAAAGUGAGGAUUCCCAGCUGGCAGGCGAGGAAGGCCAGGUGCUGUCUCUCCUGCGUCAUCGUACCUUUUGUUUUCUGCUGGCUAGAGGUCCAGUUCUUGCAUUUUGGGAAGGAGAAGUUUCCUAAUACAGAAGGAGGAAGUGUCCAUGGCCAGGUGUUUUUCUUCUUUCCCACAUUUUAUUUCGUGUACAAGUGAUAUUCGAUGUAAGCAACUUCCCACAGGUGGCUUUUAAAAGAGACCUGACCAUCUGCCCACGGAGGCCGGUACCCUUGACGGUCUUUGGGAAUCUAUGCACGUGCUUUGUAACGUGGGUAUGGUUUAUUUAAAAACUGAACAUUUCUGUGGAGUAACUCAUCUAGUCUCAUGACUGGAUGAAUGAGAACUGAGUGAAGUCGUCGUCCUGUGGGGGUAUUUCAAAGUCUUCAGACACAAGCUGAGGAACAAAGGAAGGUGCCUGAGCUUCAGAAUUCCUGGAUGUCCCACUUACUAGUGUGGGACUUGGGACCUGCUUGUACUUUCCUCUGAAUAAAGAAGUGCUGACGCGUCCCCCUCAGGCUGUCCAUCAGAACCCCCGCCCCCCAACAGCUAUUCACUGUGGUGACUGGUAGCUCCCAGGGCACCUGCCACCAUGUGAGUGAGCCCUCAGUGAGGGGAUGUGCCUGUGAUUUAUGAGGGUGUGGGCAGAAUAGCACCAGGCACUUGGGAAACAGUCACUGUGGUCACCGGACAUCAGGGCGUGUGGGGUCUAACCCAGAUCUCCUGACUGUGUUACCUUAGCCUGUUCCCAAGGAGGUGCAAUCUUAGGUGCAAAUUAUGUGUCAUUCUGGAGGGUGAUCUUGACUCAGGUUCAGAGGUGAGACCACUUUGAGCAGGAAUAUUUUUUCUUCCCUAGAAAUUUGGCAUUUAACCUCGGUUUUGGCUUCAUUGUUAAUGUUUUUCCCAACGUGUUUAGCACUUCAUGGUUUAGCACUGUUUGAAUUUUAGGAUCCUAUUAUGUUGAGACUAUUUUUAUAAGAAGAAGAACCGUAACAGCAGCAA